UACGUAGGGGGCAAGCGUUGUCCGGAAUCAUUGGGCGUAAAGAGCGUGUAGGCGGCCCGGUAAGUCCGCUGUGAAAGUCGGGGGCUCAACCCUCGGAUGCCGGUGGAUACUGUCGAGCUUGAGUACGGAAGAGGCGAGUGGAAUUCCUGGUGUAGCGGUGAAAUGCGCAGAUAUCAAGGAGGAACACCAAUUGCGAAGGCAGCUCGCUGGGACGUUAACUGACGCUGGAGACGCGAAAGCGUGGGGAGCAAACAGG
rnacentral:rRNA from 1 species